rnacentral:rRNA from 1 species
UGGGGAAUUUUGGACAAUGGGCGAAAGCCUGAUCCAGCAAUGCCGCGUGUGUGAAGAAGGCCUUCGGGUUGUAAAGCACUUUUGUCCGGAAAGAAAUCCUUGGCUCUAAUACAGUCGGGGGAUGACGGUACCGGAAGAAUAAGCACCGGCUAACUACGUGCCAGCAGCCGCGGUAAUACGUAGGGUGCAAGCGUUAAUCGGAAUUACUGGGCGUAAAGCGUGCGCAGGCGGUUUGCUAAGACCGAUGUGAAAUCCCCGGGCUCAACCUGGGAACUGCAUUGGUGACUGGCAGGCUAGAGUAUGGCAGAGGGGGGUAGAAUUCCACGUGUAGCAGUGAAAUGCGUAGAGAUGUGGAGGAAUACCGAUGGCGAAGGCAGCCCCCUGGGCAAUACUGACGCUCAUGCACGAAAGCGUGGGGAGCAAACAGGAUUAGAUACCCUGGUAGUCCACGCCCUAAACGAUGUCAACUAGUUGUUAGGGAUUCAUUUCCUUAGUAACGUAGCUAACGCGUGAAGUUGACCGCCUGGGGAGUACGUCGCAAGAUUAAAACUCAAAUGAAUUGACGGGGUCAUAGCUG